ACUCCUACGGGAGGCAGCAGUGGGGAAUAUUGCGCAAUGGGCGGAAGCCUGACGCAGCGACGCCGCGUGGGGGAUGACGGCCUUCGGGUUGUAAACCUCUUUCAGCAGGGACGAAGCGAAAGUGACGGUACCUGCAGAAGAAGCACCGGCCAACUACGUGCCAGCAGCUGCGGUAAUACGUAGGGUGCAAGCGUUGUCCGGAAUUAUUGGGCGUAAAGAGCUCGUAGGCGGUUUGUUGCGUCGGCUGUGAAAUCCCGAGGCUCAACCUCGGGUCUGCAGUCGAUACGAGCAAACUAGAGUGUUGCAGGGGAGACUGGAAUUCCUGGUGUAGCGGUGAAAUGCGCAGAUAUCAGGAGGAACACCGGUGGCGAAGGCGGGUCUCUGGGCAACAACUGACGCUGAGGAGCGAAAGCGUGGGGAGCGAACAGGAUUAGAUACCCUGGUAGUCCACGCCGUAAACGUUGGGCGCUAGGUGUGGGGCUCAUUCCACGAGUUCCGUGCCGCAGCUAACGCAUUAAGCGCCCCGCCUGGGGAGUACGGCCGCAAGGCUAAAACUCAAAGGAAUUGACGGGGGCCCGCACAAGCGGCGGAGCAUGUUGCUUAAUUCGAUGCAACGCGAAGAACCUUACCUAGGCUUGACAUGCACGGAAAUCUCGCAGAGAUGCGGGGUCCGUAAGGGCCGUGCACAGAUGGUGCAUGGUUGUCGUCAGCUCGUGUCGUGAGAUGUUGGGUUAAGUCCCGCAACGAGCGCAACCCUCGUUCUAUGUUGCCAGCACGUGAUGGUGGGGACUCAUAGGAGACUGCCGGGGUCAACUCGGAGGAAGGUGGGGAUGACGUCAAAUCAUCAUGCCCCUUAUGUCUAGGGCUGCAAACAUGCUACAAUGGCCGGUACAAAGGGCUGCGAUACCGCGAGGUGGAGCGAAUCCCAAAAAGCCGGUCUCAGUUCGGAUUGGGGUCUGCAACUCGACCCCAUGAAGUUGGAAUCGCUAGUAA
rnacentral:rRNA from 1 species